UGUAACGCGUGGAUAACCUACCUUAAGGACUGGGAUAACACCGGGAAACUGGUGCUAAUACCGGAUAAGCUCAUUGGGGCACAUGCUCUGAUGAGGAAAGGAGAAAUCCGCUUUAAGAUGGAUCCGCGUCCCAUUAGCUAGUUGGCGGUGUAACGGACCACCAAGGCAUCGAUGGGUAGCCGGCCUGAGAGGGUGGACGGCCACACUGGAACUGAGACACGGUCCAGACUCCUACGGGAGGCAGCAGUGGGGAAUCUUCCGCAAUGGGCGAAAGCCUGACGGAGCAACGCCGCGUGAAUGAUGAAGGCCUUCGGAUUGUAAAAUUCUGUCUUCAGGGAAGAAAAAAAUGACGGUACCUGAGGAGGAAGCCCCGGCUAACUACGUGCCAGCAGCCGCGGUAAUACGUAGGGGGCGAGCGUUGUCCGGAAUUACUGGGCGUAAAGGGCGCGUAGGCGGUUUCUUAAGUCAGAGGUGAAAACUAUGGGCUCAACCCAUAGCCUGCCUUUGAAACUGGGAGACUUGAGGACAGGAGGGGGGAGUGGAAUUCCCAGUGUAGCGGUGAAAUGCGUAGAUAUUGGGAGGAACACCAGUGGCGAAGGCGGCUCUCUGGCCUGUAACUGACGCUGAGGCGCGAAAGCGUG
rnacentral:rRNA from 1 species